rnacentral:pre_miRNA from 1 species
AAAAAAAAUAAUUAUGGGUUUCCGUAUCUAACGUUUGACUGUCCAUCUUAUAUGAAUUUUUUUAUAAUUAGUAUUUUCAUUGUUGUUAGAUGAUAAAAUAUGAUUAAUACUUUAUGCGUGACUUAUCUUUUUAAUUUUUUUCAUAAUUUUCUCAAAUAAGACGGACGGUCAAACGUUUAGAUCAUGUUUGUCUUUUUU